rnacentral:rRNA from 1 species
CCCUAUUAUUGAGAGGGAAAAAUGGAACUAGGGAGUAGGUGAUAAACUGAAAACCAUCUAGGAUGGCGGUUUUUUUUAUUAUUAGAUAGAUGUGUUUUUAGAGCGAAAGUACACGGCCAUCUUUCUUACUUUUGAAGACCCAUCCUGUACACCGCCGUCUGAAGAAUUAGAUUAAAGAACUAACUCCAUUUCUCUUACAUUAAAUUGAAGCAGAAAUAAGUCAGGUAAGGUGCAGACCAUAAGUAAGAAAAAAUGCAUUUCACUAAACCCCAAGGGAGAUGGUUGAAACACUUCUCCCAAGAAGAAUUUAACAGUAAGGAUUUUUUAUUAUAAAAACCUGAACUAAUUACAAGAAAAUGUACACAUCGCCCGUCGCUCU